rnacentral:lncRNA from 1 species
CUCCCGGCCACUGCUGCUCCACGGGAGCCAGUCUUGGAUACCUAGGGUGGGGGACAGGGGGACGGGAAGAGCCUCGGUUGUCUCCAGAACCUGCCGAGCCCCUGCUGCAUCUGGGACCCGCCUUCACCGUUUCCCAAUCCCAGCGGUUAGCCCCUGCGCCCCCUUUUUGGUCUCCACUUUGCCGUUCGAAAAUGCCUAGGUUGGUGGAUCGACCCUCCGCGGAGCAAAGACGGAUGGCUGGCAGGAGCAGGUUCAGGAGCUGGGCCAAGUUUCACACGAAGAGACUUGGAGUAUCUGGAGAAGGUUUUUGAAGACGUUUAGGAGGGAGGGUGAGUUUUCUGCUGAGAAACUCAAUCUGCCAUACAGUAGCGGCCCCAUCUGGGAUCUGUCACUGCUGACAGCACCAGAGGGCACAGCCGUGAUCUUCUGCACAGCCUGCACUCCCCGAAAUACCCUCCUUAAUCAAAGGAUGUCUGCGCGCCUGAGCUCAGCUGACCGCGCCGGGAGCACCAGGGCCGUUGGAUUCCACCCCAGCCCGCCCCCUCCCCACGCACACAGCCACGGCCCCUCGCGUCUUCGCGGCACGUUAAUUAAAUGCGGAAAACAGACAGAGGCUGAUGUCAUUGCUCUCACAAGAUCAUAAACGUAAAAGAGUCAUCCUGUGAGAAUCCCUGAAAAUGACUUUAAUGAAUAAUUUCAGAGACAGUUAUGACUUUGGGUGAUUACUGAGCAAGAAUAUGAAAACCAGAUUUGCAAAGCGAAGGCGAUGGUCAAAAGGCCUGGCAGUUACUUUCUCUCAUUAAAACCGCACCGGCUUUCCUUCUUCGCCAAGUACUAGUUACCAACUGAGGUUGCGUUUUCAGGUUUUCUUCUUCAAAAUAACAGUCUUCUUUUCCUGCUUUUCUGCCUUAUCCUAAAGACAAAAUGUCAGCUCCAGGGAACGACAUUAACAACCCACUUUAAAUUGAAGGCAACUCUGCACUGGCGUCAGUGGCCAUUGGCUUCCAUCUUUUUACAAAGGUUGGAUUUACUGCCAUCUUAGGAUCAUAUCUCUUUUGGCCUCUUCUCUAGGCAAUGUAUUUAAUGAAGGUUGAACAUUCUCACUGACCCUGAGUCAGUGCACUGUUUGUUGUAAAGGAUCUCAGCUGGUGGGGCAAAAAACAAGUUCCAAACAACCUGCCUUUACAGAAGAGUCUCCCUGACUCUUUAGUUCUAGGUCACCAAUGAACUGAAAAAUGAUUUGGUGCUACAUUAAGGAAUAUUUUCAAACACUCCAUCUGGCCAUGGAGAAGCAUCCAGUUGGUUAUAUCUGGUUGCUCAUGCAUUAAAAAUACUAUUUGAGAAAACAACUAGGGUGUUAGUUGUGGAAGUGGCCUGGUGAGUACCCUCUGAUCUUUUGCACGAAGUUUAGCUGCCUGCAAGUCUGUCUUCUUUGCUUGAAAAUAUAAACUGGGACUCUCUGGGCCUGUGUCCCAUGUGGAUUUAUUCCACUUAAUUCAAGUAAAAGUUUGUUUAUACUCUGAGCAAGAAAGUAUUAUAGGCACAAGUGAUGUGGAGUUUUCAGUUUGCUUGUUUUUUGCUGUUGUUUGUUUGCUUUUGAGCGAUCUGAGUGAUUUAGAAAACUAAUGUGUCUCAGUCGGCUCCACCAUUCAGACAGAUCAUAGAGAACCCACUUACCAGCACUCUAGAAAACUGUACUUUGUGCAGACAUUGCCUGAUCCUCCCCUUUCUAGAAGCACAGAUAGGCCAGAAUCCUUCAGUCACUGAGGACACAAUUGUCUAAAAGCCUCAUUCCCUAUCAUUAGCCCCCAAACCGCAGAGCUGUUUCCUUCCCUCUUGGCUCCAGAUAGGGGUGGGUGGGAGAGGGGACUAGGCUCUCCAUGUGACAUUUCCCUGACUUGAGAGGAAAUGUUUCUUUCUGAUUCUAGAUUACAUGAAGACACUUUGGAGUUGGUGUAUAGGGUUUCCUCAAAGAACUGAGGUAACGUGGACUUUAGGGAAUUUUCCUCAAUUGGAUUCCCUGUUUAUUUGUGAUACUAUUUGUGUCCCCCAAAUAGAUCUUCUUGUUGCUCCACUCACAUCAUGAGCAGUUUUCCUUUUCCUCUAGUUACAUUCACUCUAGCUUCUGACUGAAGACUCUGCUUGCCCUUUGUAGCCCGUGCAGGAAUAAACAGCAUCUUCUGGA